GAUGAACGCUGGCGGCGUGCCUAGUACAUGCAAGUCGAGCGAACAGACGAGGAGCUUGCUCCUCUGACGUUAGCGGCGGACGGGUGAGUAACACGUGGAUAACCUACCUAUAAGACUGGGAUAACUUCGGGAAACCGGAGCUAAUACCGGAUAAUAUAUUGAACCGCACGGUUCAAUAGUGAAAGACGGUUUUGCUGUCGCUUAUAGAUGGAUCCGCGCCGCAUUAGCUAGUUGGUAAGGUAACGGCUUACCAAGGCAACGAUGCGUAGCCGACCUGAGAGGGUGAUCGGCCACACUGGAACUGAGACACGGUCCAGACUCCUACGGGAGGCAGCAGUAGGGAAUCUUCCGCAAUGGGCGAAAGCCUGACGGAGCAACGCCGCGUGAGUGAUGAAGGUCUUCGGAUCGUAAAACUCUGUUAUUAGGGAAGAACAAAUGUAUAAGUAACUAUGCACGUCUUGACGGUACCUAAUCAGAAAGCCACGGCUAACUACGUG
rnacentral:rRNA from 1 species